rnacentral:rRNA from 1 species
AGAAGCUUGCUUCUCUUGAGAGCGGCGGACGGGUGAGUAAUGCCUAGGAAUCUGCCUGGUAGUGGGGGAUAACGUCCGGAAACGGACGCUAAUACCGAAUACGUCCUACGGGAGAAAGCAGGGGACCUUCGGGCCUUGCGCUAUCAGAUGAGCCUAGGUCGGAUUAGCUAGUUGGUGAGGUAAUGGCUCACCAAGGCGACGAUCCGUAACUGGUCUGAGAGGAUGAUCAGUCACACUGGAACUGAGACACGGUCCANACUCCUACNGGAGGCAGCAGUGGGGAAUAUUGGACAAUGGGCGAAAGCCUGAUCCAGCCAUGCCGCGUGUGUGAAGAAGGUCUUCGGAUUGUAAAGCACUUUAAGUUGGGAGGAAGGGCAGUUGCCUAAUACGUAACUGUUUUGACGUUACCGACAGAAUAAGCACCGGCUAACUCUGUGCCAGCAGCCGCGGUAAUACAGAGGGUGCAAGCGUUAAUCGGAAUUACUGGGCGUAAAGCGCGCGUAGGUGGUUUGUUAAGUUGGAUGU